rnacentral:tRNA from 1 species
GGGGCUGUAGCUCAGUUGGGAGAGUUCUUGAAUGGCAUUCAAGGGGUCGUCGGUUCAAUUCCGUCCAGCUCCACCA